AGAACGAACGCUGGCGGCAGGCUUAACACAUGCAAGUCGAGCGCCCCGCAAGGGGGGCGGCAGACGGGUGAGUAACGCGUGGGAACAUACCCUCCGGUUCGGAAUAGCUCAGGGAAACUUGGAUUAAUACCGGAUACGGCCUAGCGGCGAAAGAUUCAUCGCCGGAGGAUUGGCCCGCGUUCGAUUAGCUAGUUGGUGAGGUAACGGCUCACCAAGGCGACGAUCGAUAGCUGGUCUGAGAGGAUGAUCAGCCACAUUGGGACUGAGACACGGCCCAAACUCCUACGGGAGGCAGCAGUGGGGAAUAUUGGACAAUGGGCGCAAGCCUGAUCCAGCCAUGCCGCGUGAGUGAUGACGGCCUUAGGGUUGUAAAGCUCUUUCGCUAGGGACGAUAAUGACGGUACCUAGACAAGAAGCCCCGGCUAACUUCGCGCCAGCAGCCGC
rnacentral:rRNA from 1 species